GACGAACGCUGGCGGCGUGCUUAACACAUGCAAGUCGAACGGAAAGGCACUGCUUUUGUGGGCUGCCAGGGUGGCGAACGGGUGAGUAACAAGUGAGUAACCUGCCCUCCACUUUGGGAUAACUUCAGGAAACUGGGGCUAAUACCGGACAGGAGCUCCCGCUGCAUGGUGGGGGUUGGAAAGUUUCGGCGGUCGGGGAUGGACUCGCGGCUUAUCAGUUUGUUGGUGGGGUAGUGGCUUACCAAGGCUUUGUCGGGUCGCCGGCCUGGGAGGGUGACCGGCCACAGUGGGACUGAGGAAGGGCCCAGACGGCAACGGGAGACAGGGGUGGAGAAUAUUGCACAAUGGGCGGACGCCUGAUGAAGCGACGUCGCGUGCGGAAUGACGGCCUGCGGGUAAUAAACCGCUUUCGGCUAAUACGGAGCGGGAUUGACGGUAAUGGAUAAAGAAGCACCGGCUAACUACGUG
rnacentral:rRNA from 1 species